AGAGUUUGAUCCUGGCUCAGGACGAACGCUGGCGGCGCGCCUAACACAUGCAAGUCGAACGAGAGAGAAGGAGCUUGCUUCUUCGAUCGAGUGGCGAACGGGUGAGUAACGCGUGAGGAACCUGCAUCAAAGAGGGGGACAACAGUUGGAAACGACUGCUAAUACCGCAUAAGCCCACGGGUCGGCAUCGACCAGAGGGAAAAGGAGUAAUCCGCUUUGAGAUGGCCUCGCGUCCGAUUAGCUAGUUGGUGAGGUAACGGCCCGCCAAGGCGACGAUCGGUAGCCGGACUGAGAGGUUGAACGGCCACAUUGGGACUGAGACACGGCCCAGACUCCUACGGGAGGCAGCAGUGGGGAAUAUUGCACAAUGGGGGAAACCCUGAUGCAGCGACGCCGCGUGGAGGAAGAAGGUCUUCGGAUUGUAAACUCCUGUUGUUGAGGAAGAUAAUGACGGUACUCAACAAGGAAGUGACGGCUAACUACGUGCCAGCAGCCGCGGUAAAACGUAGGUCACAAGCGUUGUCCGGAAUUACUGGGUGUAAAGGGAGCGCAGGCGGGAAGACAAGUUGGAAGUGAAAUCCAUGGGCUCAACCCAUGAACUGCUUUCAAAACUGUUUUUCUUGAGUAGUGCAGAGGUAGGCGGAAUUCCCGGUGUAGCGGUGGAAUGCGUAGAUAUCGGGAGGAACACAGUGGCGAAGGCGGCUACUGGGCACCAACUGACGCUGAGGCUCGAAAGUGUGGGUAGCAACAGGAUUAGAUACCCUGGUAGUCCACACCGUAACGAUGAUUACUAGGUGUUGGAGGAUUGACCCCUUCAGUGCCGCAGUUAACACAAUAAGUAAUCCACCUGGGGAGUACGACCGCAAGGUUGAAACUCAAAGGAAUUGACGGGGGCCCGCACAAGCAGUGGAGUAUGUGGUUUAAUUCGACACAACGCGAAGAACCUUACCAAGUCUUGACAUCCUGCGACGAUGCUAGAAAUAGUAUUUUCCUUCGGGACGCAGAGACAGGUGGUGCAUGGUUGUCGUCAGCUCGUGUCGUGAGAUGUUGGGUUAAGUCCCGCAACGAGCGCAACCCUUAUGGUCAGUUACUACGCAAGAGGACUCUGGCCAGACUGCCGUUGACAAAACGGAGGAAGGUGGGGAUGACGUCAAAUCAUCAUGCCCUUUAUGACUUGGGCUACACACGUACUACAAUGGCGUUAAACAAAGAGAAGCAAGACCGCGAGGUGGAGCAAAACUCAGAAACAACGUCCCAGUUCGGACUGCAGGCUGCAACUCGCCUGCACGAAGUCGGAAUUGCUAGUAAUCGUGGAUCAGCAUGCCACGGUGAAUACGUUCNCCGGGCCCUUGUACACACCGCCCGU
rnacentral:rRNA from 1 species